rnacentral:rRNA from 1 species
CACGUAGGGUGCGAGCGUUAAUCGGAAUUACUGGGCGUAAAGCGUGCGUAGGUGGUUCGUUGUGUCUGUGGUGAAAGCCCCGGGCUCAACCUGGGAACUGCAUUUGUGACUGCAUCGCUGGAGUGCGGCAGAGGGGGAUGGAAUUCCGCGUGUAGCAGUGAAAUGCGUAGAUAUGCGGAGGAACACCGAUGGCGAAGGCAAUCCCCUGGGCCUGCACUGACGCUCAUGCACGAAAGCGUGGGGAGCAAACAGG